rnacentral:ncRNA from 2 species
UAGACCAGAAGAGGCGCGCUAGCCAGGUAUGUGAUGUCAGAGCUCUAUCGCUCGCAGCAGCACAGAGGGGGUUUAGCGCCGAGGACAAACAACAGGUAGAGGUUGUUUGUUCGGUUGCCAGGGCUGAAUCCCUGGGACUGUCACCUGAUGUUUUGGUGGAGAGCUUCUGGCCUU